GUCAACAGGCAGAGCUCCCACCAUGCCCACCACCUUCUCUUCAGACUCAGCCACCCAGAAGCAGGAGCCACGCUCACUCAGGUGACCAAGUUUGGAUCAAGGACUGGAACUCGGCUCCCCUACAACCAAGGUGGAAAGGACCCCAAACUGUCAUUCUAACAACUCCAACCGCCGUGAAGGUCAAGGGAGUUCCUGUGUGGAUCCAUCACAGCCAUAUUAAACCUGCAGCACCAGACACCUGGGAAGUGAAGCCCUAUCUCCAUAACCCAUGCAAGAUUACCUUAAGGAGAACUGAGACAUCAAGCCCUGCUCCAGUCACACCCCGGAAGCCGACUGGUCUACACACAGCCAAAGCAUGAGGACUGCCCCCAUGGGACCGGUACUCCUUCUGUUUGGACUAUGGACUUGUAUCUUUGCUACUCCAGUAGAUGUCAACCUUCCAUCCAAGGAUGGUUCCCAGUGCAUACAUAAGAUUACUAAGGUAGAAUGAAAGGUUGCCACAGUCCUCUUGUUUUAUAGUUAUGAAGGCACUAGAGCCCUCAGAAGAACUUGUUUAUAUAAUACUACCCAGUACGGGAUGUGCAGCCCGGGGAGCAACCAACCUGAUGUAUGUUAUAACCCAUCCGACCCUACCAUGUCCACCAUACUCGAAAUAAGGCUGAGAACUGGUCCUUUUUUAGGGGACACAAGUAAUUACUAAAGCUGAGGAGAAAAAAAAAAAAAAACCUCAGCAGGUCACCAUAAAAUUCUGUGCUUGUGCAGCUGUCAAUAGUAACAAGCAAGGUCUGGGGUGUGGCUCUCUUGGUUGGGAGAGAAGCUAUAUGGCAGAGCAUAAAUACAUCUGUCAUAACUGAUGGCCAUGCAGCAGUGGUUGUGACUACUGGUCAUGUGUCAUCUGGGCCACUUGGAAGAAUAAUAAAAAUGACCCAGUUCGUCUCCGAAAGGGGAGGAAUAACUUCUCCUAGCCCUCUGGCCAUUGUAAUCCAUUAAAAUUGACAAUCACCAAUCCUCUGGAUCCUUGUUGAAGGAAAGGGAAAUCUGUAAUAAUGGGAAUUAAUAAAAAAGGACUGGACCCCAUGGUUAACAUUCUAAUUCAGGAAGAUAUCCUGAAACAAUCAUGCCACCUGGUGUUUCAAGCUUUUUAUAAUAUAUUAAAUGAACCAGUUUCAGAACUCUCCCAGAAAAAAAGAAAGAAACUUGUUCUUUCAGUUAGCUAAAAAGUUGGCCAAGACUUUAAAAGUGCAUUAUUGUUAUGUGUGUGGAGGAACAACUAUGGGAACCGGUAGCCAUGGGAAGCAUGCAAGCUGUGCCUGCCGACCCUGUCCCUAAUGCGACUCAUGUGCAAAAGGGCCUGAGUAACAGCUUCUGAAUCUUAAAAACCUCCAUCACUGGACACUAUUGUCUGGCCAGAAUAGGAAGGGGUAUAAUAGUCCCAGUGGGAAAGCUGAACUGUUUGGAACAGAAGCUAUGUAAUGGAACCAGUAAAACAAUCACUUGGUGAAGUUUAAAUAGGACCAAGACCAACCCUUUCCAAAAGUUUCUCACCUUACAGGCGGCCUGACCCACCUGGAACUCCAUGAGGACUGGGUAGCACCUUCUGGCUUGUACUGGAUAUGUGGGCACAGGACCUACACCAAACUGCCAGACCAGUGGAUGGGCAGUUUUGUCCUUGGCACUAUCAAGCCCUCUUUCUUCCUGUUACCCCUAAGAACUGGGGAGUUGUUAGGUUUUUCUGUCUAUUCUUCAUGAAACAAGCAAAGCCUAGUUAUAGGGGACUGGAAAGAUGAUGAAUGGCCCCCUCAGAGAAUAAUACAAUACUAAGGGCCAGCCACAUGAGCAGAGAAUGGCUAUCGUACUCCAAUCUAUGUGCUUAAUCAAAUCAUUCAAUUGCAAGCUGUCCUAAAAAUCCUGACCAACAAAACUGGCCAGGCUCUAACUGCCCUGGCACACCAGGAGACCAAAAUGAGAAAUGCCAUCUACCAAAAUAAACUGGCUUUAAAUUACUUACUGGCAGCUGAAGGAAGGGUAUGUGGAAAAUUGAACUUAACCAACUGUUGCCUGCAAAUAGAUGACCAGGCUCAGGUGGUUGAAACUAUUGUAAGGGACAUGACAAAACCGGUGCAUGUACCCAUACAGGUCUGGCAUGGGUUCAACCCUGGAUCAAUGUUUGGGAAUUGGUUUCCUGCUAUAGGGAGGACUCAAGACUAUUGUCGUGUGUUACUGAUAGUAGGAGCAUGCAUAUUGCUCCCCUGCUUAAUGCCCUUGCUCCUUCAGAUGGUGAAAGGAUUUUUUACUGCUGUGGUUCAAGAAAAAAUGUCAGUGUAUGCCUAUCACAAGAAUCACUACCAAUCUGCUUCACUAGAAUACACUGACAGUGAGGUUUCUCACUAAAAGUAAGAGUGAGAAUUCUCACUAAAAAAAAGAGGGGGGUGAGAUUCUCAAAGCGGAGGGUGAGAGGGGAGACCCCCUCACCUCCUUCUGUUUCCCAGUCUCUGCCUCCUCCCUCCUCUCCCCUCCAGAUGGGAAGGAGGGUGAAGAAGAACAAAAAAAACACCAAAGAACUGGGAAGAUGACUCCCUUUUUGGUUCCCAGUGUCUCUGCUAUCUGUAAAACUUGAAAAGAGUUGCAAAUAAAUGUUAUCCCUACUGGCUGGAGCCUGGCACUGGGUCACACCCCCAUGUCUCCCUUCUGGAAACACCUCUGCCAACUAAUAGUUUAUUGCCUUUGUCUUGCCUCUGUAAGCCCCCUACCCUGCCAGUCCCUGCUCAUGCUGCAUAUGAAUUAGCAAAUCAGUGAAGCCAAAAGAUUGUAAGGUUGGACAUCCAGCAAAUGGACAAUGACCUGGUUUCACCUCAGUUUCCCCUUUAGCGUUGUAAGCCUAUAAAAGGGGAGAGAAGCUGCUUCUCGGGGAGCUUGGUGAAUAAGGCAGUAGCCCUGCCGCAGCUCCCAGCAGAAUAAAAAGCCACUUCCUUCCUCA